rnacentral:snRNA from 2 species
AUACCUUUCUCGGCCUUUUGGCUAAGAUCAAGUGUAGUAUCUGUUCUUAUCAGUUUAAUAUCUGAUAUGUGGGCCAUGUGUCCACAAUGAUAUUAAAUUUAUUUUUUAUGGGGAAGGGCCCACCACAGUAGCUUGCUGCUGGCGCCCUUGCGUGUCGCUCAGGCGUUGCAUUACUGCCUGGCCCGGCGCACCCCUA